rnacentral:rRNA from 1 species
AAUGGCGAGUGGCGAACGGGUGAGAUAAUGCAUCGGAACGUGCCCAGUCGUGGGGGAUAACGCAGCGAAAGCUGUGCUAAUACCGCAUACGAUCUAUGGAUGAAAGCGGGGGACCUUCGGGCCUCGCGCGAUUGGAGCGGCCGAUGUUAGAUUAGGUAGUUGGUGGGGUAAAGGCUCACCAAGCCGACGAUCUAUAGCUGGUCUGAGAGGACGACCAGCCACACUGGAACUGAGACACGGUCCAGACUCCUACGGGAGGCAGCAGUGGGGAAUUUUGGACAAUGGGCGAAAGCCUGAUCCAGCAAUACCGCGUGCAGGAAGAAGGCCCUCGGGUUGUAAACUGCUUUUGUACGGAACGAAACGGCGCGCUCUAAUAAAGUGCGCUAAUGACGGUACCGUAAGAAUAAGCACCGGCUAACUACGUGCCAGCAGCCGCGGUAAUACGUAGGGUGCAAGCGUUAAUCGGAAUUACUGGGCGUAAAGCGUGCGCAGGCGGUUUUGUAAGACAGGCGUGAAAUCCCCGGGCUUAACCUGGGAAUUGCGCUUGUGACUGCAAGGCUAGAGUACGGUAGAGGGGGGUAGAAUUCCGCGUGUAGCAGUGAAAUGCGUAGAUAUGCGGAGGAACACCGAUGGCGAAGGCAGCCCCCUGGACCUGUACUGACGCUCAUGCACGAAAGCGUGGGGAGCAAACAGGAUUAGAUACCCUGGUAGUCCACGCCCUAAACGAUGUCAACUGGUUGUUGGGAAUUUACUUUCUCAGUAACGAAGCUAACGCGUGAAGUUGACCGCCUGGGGAGUACGGCCGCAAGGUUGAAACUCAAAGGGAAUUGACGGGG